UUAGUGAAGUAAAAAUUAAUUGCUUUUUUCUUUUCUUUUUGUUGAUAGCUGAGGAAAUCAAGAAAUAACAAAGAAUCAGAAAGAUAGGAGAAGGUCAAGAGAAAACCUGAUAUCAAACUGGGACAUCAGCAACAGACUAUAGACCUGGGACUGCUGUAAUGUUUGUCUGGAAGGACUGCAAAGAGACUUGGGCUGAGUGAAAAUAAUUGCAUGCAAGCCAGAAGAGUAGGAAAAGGUUGUAAGCUCUGAAAGUUCUAUUAGUAAUGGCUGCCCAGGACUGUGGGAGUGCCUGAUCAGAGAUAAGGGCAAUCAAAUCACCUGGGAAGACAAGUAAAGAAAGAAUUGUCAGUCAGGCUUAAUUGAUUCUUAGUAAAGCACCCUUCCUGAGAUAUUACCUUCCAACAGGGUGUUAAGAAGAGGAAAAGAGCUUCUGAUGCUUAGGUGUGCUGAUUUUUCAUUUUUCACUCCAUUGGGCUUCCAAAUCAGUUGCUUGUUAACAUCAAAGGAAAUAAACUCCACUCUUUAAAAAUGGAAAAAAAAAUAAAUAGAAAAA
rnacentral:lncRNA from 1 species